UGUCGGGCUCGGGGAGAUUGUCGGCCUUUGGUCGGAUAGUUUCUCCGGGCCUUUCUGCCUGGGAACCCUAUUCUACUUAACUGUAGGGUAGUGGGACGCAGGCCGUUUACUUUGAAAAAAUUAGAGUGUUCAAAGCAGGCCUACGCUUGAAUACAUUAGCAUGGAAUAAUGGAAUAGGACUUUGGUCUUAUUUGUUGGUUUAUGGGACCGAAGUAAUGAUUAACAGGGACAGUUGGGGCCGUUUAUAUUUCGUUGUCAGAGGUGAAAUUCUUGGAUUUACGAAAGAUAAACUUCUGCGAAAGCAUUCGGCAAGGAUGUUUUCAUUGAUCAAGAACGAAAGUUAGGGGAUCGAAGACGAUCAGAUACCGUCGUAGUCUUAACCAUAAACUAUGCCGACUAGGGAUCAGUGGAUGUCAAUUUGCGACUCCAUUGGCACCUUGUGAGAAAUCAAAGUUUUUGGGUUCCGGGGGGAGUAUGGUCGCAAGGCUGAAACUUAAAGGAAUUGACGGAAGGGCACCACCAGGAGUGGAGCCUGCGGCUUAAUUUGACUCACCACGGGGAAACUUACCAGGUCCAGACAUAGUAAGGAUUGACAGAUUGAAAGCUCUUUCUUGAUUCUAUGGGUGGUGGUGCAUGGCCGUUCUUAAUUGGUGGAGUGAUUUGUCUGGUUAAUUCCGUUAACGAACGAGACCUCAGCCUGCUAACUAGUGACACAUAUUUCUAUAUGUGGACCACUUCUUAGAGGGACUAUUUGUGUUUAAUGAAUGGAAAUUUGAGGCAAUAACAGGUCUGUGAUGCCCUUAGAUGUUCUGGGCC
rnacentral:rRNA from 1 species